AGGAUUCGCGAACGGUGAUUUGCAUCGGGGUUGGCUCAGUGGCAACGGGCUCACAACCAAUGAACCUGCGAGAAUAGAAACUUCAAGGAUCGGCUCGACUUAAGGACAGGCUCGACAGCAGCUCGAGUCGGGGCUCCGCAGCACAGUUAGCUUGAUGGGAUAGGACACGUCGGGAACAGUAGUGGGUGACGAUAAGAUAAACUCGGUAGGACAACGGGCGGUGCAAUGGCAGCGGGUCGUCGCGGGUGGUUCGGACACGGCGGAAGCAACAUGUGAGUCUCAAGCGGAAGGCAUCACUUCAGGGGGUGCGACUUCGGUUCACGACAACUGCUACUUUGCUGCUACGUAGGUUUGGCAAGGCUGGGCUCGUCAGAACAAGUGUGUAACAGCAAGGUAGCUUGCUAGUUUGCUACUGGGUUGAGUGUUCCUUCAAUGGACAGCUAACACCAAUGACACCAAGGCCUUGGAGGCGUGAACACGAGGGAAGUCACGGGCUGCUCUCCAAAUGGUGGACUUUUCCCUUCAAGGCCUCACCUCCAUUAAUACCUCCAAGAAAUUUGGGUACGUGUGGAUCUCAAGAGAGAAUGAAUUCGUAAAAGUCCGCGAGCGGUGCUCCGAAGCGGGAGCUUGCCGAUGUUGCGGGUGCGGCAAACUUCACGACCAGGGACGUAACGGGUUCAUCAACACAGGCUAGAAAUCAGCAAAACCGAUCGUCACUGGAACAAGGAAUGACAGCAGUGGCGUGCGGCAUGUGACGAGGGAUGGCAGAUUGGGCUACCGCAGCGAGACCAAAGCGGCAGCAUCCUUGGGAGAAUGACCCACGUCGAAACUUGAGCAGUAUGCGGCGUGGUCUAAGCAAAGGUUACGCCGAGAUCUCCUCUUUCUCUCUAUUCCUCAAUUCUCACGUGUAUCUCUCUAUGCUUCCCCCCACGAUUUCUCCUUUCAAUUCUUUCUGGCAGUGUGUUUCUCUAUGCUCUCCUAGAAUUAUGGCCGUCUUCAUCUGUGCGGGUCAACCCCUUUUAUAUGCAACGAAAUAGAGCUCCCUAUAUGGAAGAAGCAAAAU
rnacentral:lncRNA from 1 species